AGCAGCCGCGGUAAUUCCAGCUCCAAUAGCGUAUAUUAAAGUUGUUGCAGUUAAAAAGCUCGUAGUUGAAUUUCGGGGUUAGUAGGUUGGUCAUGCCUCUGGUAUGUACUGGUCUCACUGAUUCCUCCUUCCUGAUGAGCCGUAAUGCCAUUAAUUUGGUGUUGCGGGAAUCUGGACUGUUACUUUGAAAAAAUUAGAGUGUUUAAAGCAAGCUAACGCUUGAAUACAUUAGCAUGGAAUAAUGAAAUAGGACGUUCGAUCCUAUUUUGUUGGUUUCUAGGAUUGACGUAAUGAUUAAUAGGGAUAGUUGGGGGCAUUAGUAUUCAAUUGUCAGAGGUGAAAUUCUUGGAUUUAUUGAAGACUAACUACUGCGAAAGCAUUUGCCAAGGAUGUUUUCAUUAAUCAAGAACGAAAGUUAGGGAUCGAAGACGAUCAGAUACCGUCGUAGUCUUAACCAUAAACUAUGCCGACCAGGGAUCGGAUGAUGUUAAUUUUUAAUGACUCAUUCGGCGCCUUACGG
rnacentral:misc_RNA from 1 species